AUAUUGCACAAUGGGGGAAACCCUGAUGCAGCGACGCCGCGUGAGCGAAGAAGUAUUUCGGUAUGUAAACCUCUGUCCUCUGUGAAGAUAAUGACGGUAGCAGAGGAGGAAGCUCCGGCUAACUACGUGCCAGCAGCCGCGGUAAUACGUAGGGAGCAAGCGUUGUCCGGAUUUACUGGGUGUAAAGGGUGCGUAGGCGGCUAGGCAAGUCAGAAGUGAAAUCCAUGGGCUUAACCCAUGAACUGCUUUUGAAACUGCUUAGCUUGAGUGAAGUAGAGGUAGGCGGAAUUCCCGGUGUAGCGGUGAAAUGCGUAGAGAUCGGGAGGAACACCAGUGGCGAAGGCGGCCUACUGGGCUUUAACUGACGCUGAGGCACGAAAGCAUGGGUAGCAAACA
rnacentral:rRNA from 1 species